rnacentral:rRNA from 1 species
GUCCUAGCUGUAAACGAUGAUCACUGGGUGUGGGGGUCGAACCUCCGUGCCGAAGUUAAUGCGAUAAGUGAUCCGCCUGGGGAGUACGUUCGCAAGAAUGAAACUCAAAGGAAUUGACGGGGACCCGCACAAGCGGUGGAGCAUGUGGUUUAAUUCGACGCAACGCGAGGAACCUUACCAGUUCUUGACAUCCUACAAACUUUCUGGAGACAGAUUGGUGCCCUUUCGGGGGAAUGUAGUGACAGGUGGUGCAUGGCUGUCGU